AUUGAACGCUGGCGGCAGGCCUAACACAUGCAAGUCGAGCGGAUGAAGGGAGCUUGCUCCUGGAUUCAGCGGCGGACGGGUGAGUAAUGCCUAGGAAUCUGCCUGGUAGUGGGGGAUAACGUCCGGAAACGGGCGCUAAUACCGCAUACGUCCUGAGGGAGAAAGUGGAGGAUCUUCGGACCUCACGCUAUCAGAUGAGCCUAGGUCGGAUUAGCUAGUUGGUGGGGUAAAGGCCUACCAAGGCGACGAUCCGUAACUGGUCUGAGAGGAUGAUCAGUCACACUGGAACUGAGACACGGUCCAGACUCCUACGGGAGGCAGCAGUGGGGAAUAUUGGACAAUGGGCGAAAGCCUGAUCCAGCCAUGCCGCGUGUGUGAAGAAGGUCUUCGGAUUGUAAAGCACUUUAAGUUGGGAGGAAGGGCAGUAAGUUAAUACCUUGCUGUUUUGACGUUACCAACAGAAUAAGCACCGGCUAACUUCGU
rnacentral:rRNA from 1 species